AUCGAGGCACAGUACACGGCAGUGAGUAGCAGCGCUGCAAUCCUUUCUCGACGACGCGUUCUGUGGCCUUGGAAAAUGCCUUGACGCUCGGGGACGGCCGGUAGCUCGGCGAUUCCUCGCUUAGCGCACCAUUGAAAACGGCGGUCAUCCAGCAGUGUACGCUGCCAGCGUAUUUUUAUUGCCAGAGGUAGCAAACAGCAGUGCCACGACAAACAGUGGAGUGCUGACCAUGCAGUCCAGAAGGUGGCUGAGGCAAGUAUGCUAUAGGAGGUGCUUAUUCAGGCAGAAGAAAUAAGCUUCUGUAGCCAACGUAAAGGAAGCAUCUUCAAAAAGCAGUGCUACAAGGAUGUGAGCAGCAGUUUCCCUUCAACGAAAGGGUCAAAUUCAU